rnacentral:RNase_P_RNA from 1 species
AUUGCGGAACCUUCUAUCGCCUUGCUUAUGGCAGGGAGGAAAGUCGGGACAACACAGGGCGCCAUACUUCCUAGAAGGAAGGGUCCCGAGCAAUCGGGAUACAGAUAGGGUCGCAGAAAAUAACAGCCUAAUCCGUCGGUUGACGGACGGCAAUGGUGAAAACGUGGGGUAAGAGCCUACGAUUGUUGUUGGUGACAGUAACAAUGGAUAAACCUUAUGGGUUGCAAGAUCAAAUAAACCGGUGCUUGAGGGUUGCCCGCCCGAUACCGGAGGGUAGAUUGCUAGAUCCUGCAGGCGACUGCAGGACCAGAUAAAUGAUAGAGUCGUGCUUUUUUAAGCCCGAUAACAGAAUCCCGCUUAUGGUUUCGUAAUACUU